rnacentral:lncRNA from 1 species
CCCCUCAUUCGUCUCUCACCUCUCUUCAGAGACACCCUUGUCUCACCGCCUCACUCCGCCGCCUUUCGCCCACCGAAAACGCUUCACGGCGGUUCUGGUGGUCCAAUCACUUCCAAAUUUACACCACAGGUUCCUCUCACCCUCCUCUUUCCAAACCUCAACAUAGUUACCCUCGAAUCUCUCUCAAUCGUCUUGAAUCUUGAAUCAAGUGUUGAAUCCUAAAAAUCCCAAAAAGCCCCAAAUCGAGAUUUCAGUGAUGAUUAAGGUCUAGUGUUCUUGAUAAGAACACACAAUUAAGGUCAAACUCGGCCUAAAUUUGAAGACAUGAAGACGUUUCAGUUUAUUUGCUUUUCGAGCCUUUCUUUUAGGUACUUUUUCUUUUCUUAUUGUUAUCUUUUCUUCAUUUUUUCUUUCGUUUUACUAUCUUCUGCCUCUUUCUCUUCUUCGUGAUUUCUUUUUUAUUUUCCAGUUUCUUCAGAGCCAUUUUUGAUAUGCAUGUUUGAUUAAGUUUUUUUUAGUAAGCAUGAUUCUGUUUGUUGUAUUAGAUUUUGUUCGAGUUUAUUUGUUUCUACUUUUCUUUAAGCCCAGAACCUUACGAGUCUUUAUGACUCUGUAGGUCAUUUAGGCCAAUAAUUUUGUUUGAUGAUUUGAACUUGGGUUCUAGAAUUAGAAGCCCAAGAAAGGGGAUUCUACUCGGGAUGUACAGACCCAUGACCAUUUAAUUUAGGUCAAUUUGGCUCAUAUCUGUUUGUUUUAAGAAAUAAAUGGGGAUUUUUAAGGGGUAGUUGGAGAAUUAUUCAACAAAAAAGUGUUUACCAAACUUUAGGAAGUUUCUAUAAUAGUAGGGUUUAGGAAAUGCACUACUAAAUUAAUUAAAAAGCACUAAGCUUGUAUUGAUAAUUUAAAAAUAGAAAAGUUGAAUUGAUAAUGGGAAUGACGCUAAUUGAAUGCCUAUUUAAGGACUGGAAAAUAUAGAGUUUGGGGGGGGCCAAGAAGAAGAAAAAAGAAACAGAGGAGAACAAGAGAGAACUUUAGUAAUAUAAAAUCCAGAAUAAGAAACGGAUAGGAGUUUUACUGUUCCAUUGAAUCUUUUUUUCCUUUCUCGGUCAAUUUCUGAAGUUUUCAAGUCUUGACAUAUUUUCUGACUUAUUCUGAGAGUUCAUAUAGAGUGACAUUGAGUUUUGGAAGUGUUUUCUGGUUCAAGUUGUUAAGAAUCACUAUUCCAUUGAAUUUUCAAGCUGGUUUUAGUGUUUCAAUCGAUAAAUUUGGGCUGUUUAUUGCUUUCACCUCUUUUCCUUUUGCAAUUUCCAGGUAUACCUUCUAAACUUGUCAUGGAAUUGAAUUAUGACUAGCAUGUAUGAGGAUCUGGGAAUUCAAGUUGAAGUUUGAAUGGACUUUGAUGUAAUUACUGUUAUUUACUGCUAUUUCAUGUGAUUAAAUGCUUCAGUCGGGUAGUAGUUCAAUUUCUAGUUUAUGUGGGGUUAUAGGUUCAUGCUAAUAUCUUAUGGUAGUUCAGUUAUUCAGAUUUAGUGUGUAAUUUUAGAAUAAUGGAAUGUUGUAAUAGCAUUUGAAAUCUAUUUACAUGAACGGGCUGUUUUAAUCAUUUAAAUGGUAUUGUUCAAG